ensembl:lncRNA
CGAGAAACAAAGAGGAACACCCUGAAGGAGGGAGAAAAGAGUUCCAAGAAUGGGAAAGGGAAAAGUAUCAAUCACCACAUCGGAACAAAACCAAGGUAUUGCAACACAGGAGCAGCAAUAAAGCAAGACUGACAAAAGAACGGCAAACAACAAGGAAAACAGAGCAAAGCAAAACAAAGACACGAAAUACAAGAGUCCAGCACAUGAACUCAAGACAGCAUCAUGGCAAAGCAAGGAAGCCAAACACAGGAAAACAGGCCCACUGCCCCGCCACAGGCAUACACUGAUCUAGAUCACUCCGUGACAGCCAGCUAACACAAACGGGAAGGAAGUAGGAAAGCAGUCUUUUUGGACUUCACAGGCUUUCCGCCUCCUCAAAUCUUGUUCUGCUCAGGAGCAAAAAGAGGGAAGCAAUUCACCUGGAUGACAAAGGGGUGCAGCCUGGUUCCACCCCUCCCUCACCUCAUUUCAGGGCUGGCUGCCCCAAGGGAAGGAUCACUGCUUCAAAUUCUGCUCUUGUUUAGUAGGGUGUGAGCCCUCCUCCUCACAAAGGGGUAAGCAGUUCCAUCUUCAUUUACUGGACUGAGUCCCUUCCGCUCCCUGGGUAAGGGAAAACUGUGCCUGUGAUAGCCUUGGUCUACAGUUGCCAUUCUGGGUUAACCAGUGGUACACUUCCGUCAGAGGCCUGGGUCAAAGGAGGUCCCUAAGGGCCAGCUGGGUCUGGCCCCUCUGGCUUCAAGCAGCAGAAAGGCUUACAGUAGCAGCUGAUAGCCGACGGGGGAUACCACUCUGUGUAGAAAUGGGGGUACUCAGAGCUGCGUGAACUCCUUGGACAGGCCAAACAGCGUGGAGGUCACUUCUACUGGUAGCUGUGCAAUUCAGGAAUGAAGUCUGUUGCUCAGCUCGGACGCCUGACAGCAUUUUGUGUGCUCCAGCAGCUUUACUCUGAGCAAUGUAUUGCUGUCAGGCAGACUGGGGUUUCUUUACCACUACCUCAGCAGGAACAAGACUAGAAAUACGGUCCGUAAGUGCACUGCAGUUGAACAGAAAAUGGUCUGGUUUGGCUGUAAGAAUAGUGUAUUUGAGGGAUUUUGGGUGGAUGUGGGCUAACAGGACAACUUCUGUUGGUGACUGGUUUCUGGGAAGGAGAAAAAUUACACUUGGUUUUAGGGAAUCAGCCCGGGAUUCAAGCGACUCUCACUGAGAAAAGGGAAAAGGGAAAGCUUCUGUGGGUAAGAACAUUAUUUGGCGAGCUGUUGUAAGAGCGAUGGAAAUCUCUCUUGUUGUAAUAAGAGAUGGAAAAAAGCAGGGGAGUUACCUCGUAGGAAAAAAGAGCUCAGGGAGCUUGAGACAGUGUCUCAGAAAAGGCGUGCUUUUGCUUAGCAUUGCUCUGUGUCUGAGUUUUCCUUGCUAUUUGUGCAUGAAGCCCUCAGAUGGGAAACCCAGCCUCCCCCUCCAAGUGAGGACAUUGCCCUAGCAGCCCCUGGGGCUUGGCCUGAAAGGAAGGGAAAAAAAACCAACAAACAACCAAAGCAGUGCAAUGCAAAGCAACAGAGAAAGAAGCAUAAAAGAAAGAAAAGAUGUUAAAUAGCAAGAGGAAAAGCAAAGAAAAACCACACGACAUGGAAAGAACAAAGACAAAGACAACUACAACUCUCGGGAUGGAAUCAAAGAAUGCCCUCAGGCAUCUGUCCCCUCCCCUGAACCUUCCUACGUCCCAAGAGUUUCUGCCCGGUGGGACCACGUGCAGGACAGCAGGCUUUGGCUUGAUGGGCUGCAAGGCCAAAAAAGGGCGGCUCCAGGCCCCCCAGAGGAUGUCACAGCUGACAUCACCCACGCUCCUGGAACCUUUGUGCUGUUACAAUCAGUUUCCAUGACGAUGACGGGCCCUCCACAAGGACAGCGGGCAGAUGUUGACAGGCACCUCAGCUGGGAGAUGCACUGCCCGCAGCCGCUCGCCGUGCCCUGGGGCUGAGAGCAGCCCUGGCAGAAGACAAGCUCGGCCUCAUCCCCUGCUGGAUUACGGUUAAGUGCUACUAUUUAGUCUUACUACUAACUGCGGACCGUUACCCUUUGGCAUCAGAUGGUCGGGUUACUGCAUUAGAUAAGGCUUCACGUGGAAAUGCUACCAAGUUCAGUCAGGGCAAAGGCUUAAGG